rfam:Aureobasidium subglaciale EXF-2481 unplaced genomic scaffold scaffold_0, whole genome shotgun sequence.
AGCACUGCUCUUCCAUUAUUCUGACUUCGAAUUUGCCUUUUACCAAUUCAAACAGGGAUGGAGAGCAAAGACAGUGCCUACUCAAAUCUUUGGAACAUACCUGAAUGUUUGAU